rnacentral:piRNA from 1 species
UAUUGAAUGAGCUACCUAAGAUAUUGGUAA